rnacentral:rRNA from 1 species
CAGUCGUGAGGAAGGUGGUAGUGUUAAUAGCACUAUCAUUUGACGUUAGCGACAGAAGAAAGCACCGGCUAACUCCGUGCCAGCAGCCGCGGUAAUACGGAGGGUGCGAGCGUUAAUCGGAAUUACUGGGCGUAAAGCGCAUGCAGGUGGUUUGUUUAAGUCAGAUGUGAAAGACCCGGGGCGUCAACCUCGGAAUAGCAUUUGUAAACUAGGCAGACUAGAGUACUGUAGAGGGGGGUAGGAAUUUCAGGUGUAGCGGUGAAAUGCGUAGAGAUCUGAAGGAAUACCGGUGGCGAAGGCGGCCCCCUCGGACAGAUACUGACACUCAGAUGCGAAAGCGUGGGGAGCAAACAGGAUUAGAUACCCUGGUAG